CUGUACAUGUCAUUAAAAUACGGCAUGAAACACCCUGUGAAGCAGCUGUCAGAGUGCGAGAGUGAGGGAUAUGUUGUGUUGUUGUUUACUAUGUGUAAUGAUGAAUGUCUAGCGUGUAGAUUAUGAUAAUAUAGAUAUUGUAUUGUGUGAAUAUAGAGUGUUAGUUAUUUAUGAAUGUCUUCCGAAGAAUCCGAAUCCUGAGGGUGUAACAUUGGCGACGAGGACGGUACUCUGAACCUGGGCAAAACGGAAAGGACUUUUAAGAGGACCAUGAUGUAUCGGAAAUGGUUAGCAGGCCAGAUCAACCAACGACCUUUGAAGAACCCAUGAACCUGGAACUGGACAAGGAACAACCAGAGCCUUCUGAACGACCGAAACGAUUGAGUCGACGUCCUACGAAGUUUGACGAUUACGUCGUUGAUGAUAAGUCUUCUUAUCCUUGAGAAAAAACGAGAUGUGGCACCCCCUGUGCAUGUCAUUAAAAUACGGCAUGAAACACCCUGUGAAGCAGCUGUCAGAGUGCGAGAGUGAGGGAUAUGUUGUGUUGUUGUUUACUAUGUGUAAUGAUGAAUGUCUAGCGUGUAGAUUAUGAUAAUAUAGAUAUUGUAUUGUGUGAAUA